AGAGAACACCACGAGUAGAUCCAAGGAGAUCACAGAAGGAGUGACUCCCCAAACCUUGACAUCUGUGCAAGGGCACAUCCGAGACUGAGCUAGAGGGCGCGUGAAGGAGACUGAGCGCAAGGGCACACUGUGAGAAAUAUGCAAGGGUGAAGGAUACUGAGCUAUAGGGUGUGAGGAGGAUACUAAGCACGAGGGAACAUUGUGAGAAAUCUUCAGAAUGGUGAGUGGUAGUUCCACCAAUCCCACCCAAAUUUUUUGCAUUGAGAUAUGGUUUUGCCAAGUUGCCUCUAUUUUUUUUUCCCCUUGUCUACAAAAAAAAAACAUGUUUUGACUAUGUGGAGCUUGGAAAUGUCAAGUUCAAUCUCAUUCGGUCCCCCUCUCUGCCUUGGAUGUAAGAAAAAAAAUAGAACAUACACAUGUCUGUCAUCCAAAAUGGACCCUGCAGCCUUCUCCUCCUCACUAUUCUCACGAUCUGGGUCUGUCUACAUAGGUGUUGUCUACAUAGGCAUUGUUUACAUAGGUUUUGUCUACAACACUCCAUUUUGUCCCAUUGGAUAUUGGACAAUGAGGCAUCACAAAAUAUAUGGAGGUUGUCCAUAGCGUUCUCUAUAGAAUAAAAAAAAAUCUAGAAGCAUUCCAUAGUGUUCUUCAUAAAAGUCUGGUCCUUAUGAAUAAUAUGAAAGAGUUGUAUGUAGAAUGUUGAUUAACCAACUAUCCAACUCCAUGUUCUGGGAGGGGAAUGCCUUUGAUAAGAUCUUGACCAACCCCACGAUAAGUGAGAUAAUCUAGGGACUUUACUGCCAUUUAAAAAAAGACUUUUGUUGGAUGGACCCUAAGUGUCCCAUAUCCUAUGAUUCACACUUGUUGAUAGGUAGGAAGACUGAGGAUUUGCAGAGUGCCUCAGAAGCGUAGAGUAAAAAUUUCCCGAAGUCCAUGGCCUUGAUCAUGCCUAUAUUUGAGGGUCAUUCGAUCAUGUCAUAAGAUUUCCCAAAAAUCAAUAUCAAUGAAGAGGGUGUUGAAAUCAAGGAAACAUUUUAGGGCAUUCCAUAACUUUUUCCCCUUCAAGAAAUAUCAUAGACAACAUGCACUCCUUUUCCUCCUCUGCAUCAAUCACGUGAAAAUCCCUACAAACUAACAAAUGGAUUUCCAAUGAUUUGUCAAUAAUCCAUUUCUAUAAAAGGGCACAUUCAUCAUUAGACACAUAGAAGUUGGAUAAACCCAACAAACUUCUAUCCAGAUUCAACAAAAUUGAAACCCAUUUUUGAGAGUUGUUGGUGCCUCAUCCUAUAACUGACAGCAACAUUAGGAAAUCUAGAGACGUCAUUGGGCCACCCUGGACGAGUUAUCUUUUUUUUUUAAUAGAUUUCCCACCCUGAAAUCGACUCAACCGAAUAUAGGGUCCAACAACUAGAAGAGCAUCACACGUCUUGUGGUGUCCGGUGUGCCCUCAAUGGCCCUUGAAAAUCUGGAGGACCAAGUAUUGUCCAUGCUCGAUCAUACUCAUAAUUGCAUCAGGUCUCCAAGGUGAACAACCUCUGUUCAAUAGAAAAAUGUAGGUAAGGGAAGUCCACAAAACAGAUCCGUAACUUUGGGAAAAGGAUUGGCUCUGAGGACUGGGCCUAUGGGUUUGCGUCCUCAAUCUGUGGGUUGUCGGCAGUCUGCCCGAGCUGUUGUCGUGGUGAGGGAGAGUAUUCAUGUGCCGAUUGGGCUAUGAACGUAGGAUGUCCCCUCGUGGGGGAUUUUCCCUAGGCGGUGAACAGUCGACUCAGAACUGGUACACACAAGGGGAAUCCGUCUGUUUAAUUAAAACAAAGCAUUGUGAUGGUCCCUGCGGAUGCGAACACAAUGUGAUUUCUGCCCAGUGCUCUGAAUGUCAAAGUGAAGAAAUUCAACCAAGUGCGGGUAAGAGUAUAGAGACUUCAAUCCUUAGAAUCCUCGAGUUUGCAGUGAGGAUCAAGCUCAGGAAGGAUAGAGACUUGGAGAAGUUCAGAGUAAAGACGAGGUUUUGAAGUCACCUCGUGGAAUCAAGAUCAGAAGGGCGGACGCCAAGU
rnacentral:ncRNA from 1 species